CAUGUACAUGCUUACAACACAGCGUUAAUGCAUCCGAUCUCAUUAGAACUCCACAGUUAAGCAUGCUCAGGAUAGAGUAGUACUAGGAUGGAUGAUCGUCCGGGAAGUCCCAGUGUAUUACAUGC
rfam:Picea glauca, whole genome shotgun sequence.